GUUUCUUUAGUUCAUUGGCAGAACGUUGGUUUGUGGCACCAAAAAACAGGGUUCGAUUCCCGAAGAAACC
rnacentral:tRNA from 1 species